rnacentral:rRNA from 1 species
CGAUUAGCUAGUUGGUGAGGUAACGGCCCACCAAGGCGACGAUCGGUAGCCGGACUGAGAGGUUGAACGGCCACAUUGGGACUGAGACACGGCCCAGACUCCUACGGGAGGCAGCAGUGGGGAAUAUUGCACAAUGGGGGAAACCCUGAUGCAGCAACGCCGCGUGAAGGAUGAAGGUUUUCGGAUUGUAAACUUCUUUUAUUCGGGACGAAGAAAGUGACGGUACCGAAUGAAUAAGCCACGGCUAACUAC